rnacentral:rRNA from 1 species
AUUGAACGCUGGCGGCAUGCUUUACACAUGCAAGUCGAGCGGCAGCGCGGGGGCAACCCUGGCGGCGAGCGGCGAACGGGUGAGUAAUGCAUCGGAACGUAUCCUCGAGUGGGGGAUAACCCAGCGAAAGUUGGGCUAAUACCGCAUGAGCUCUGAGGAGGAAAGCGGGGGACCUGCGAGGGCCUCGCGCUGGAGGAGCGGCCGAUGUCCGAUUAGCUAGAUGGUGGGGUAAAGGCUUACCAAGGCGACGAUCGGUAGCUGGUCUGAGAGGAUGAUCAGCCACACUGGGACUGAGACACGGCCCAGACUCCUACGGGAGGCAGCAGUGGGGAAUUUUGGACAAUGGGGGCAACCCUGAUCCAGCCAUGCCGCGUGAGUGAAGAAGGCCUUCGGGUUGUAAAGCUCUUUCGGACGGAACGAAAUGGGCGGGACUAAUACUCCUGUCUGAUGACGGUACCGUAAGAAGAAGCACCGGCUAACUACGUG